rnacentral:rRNA from 1 species
UACGGAGGGUGCAAGCGUUAUCCGGAUUUACUGGGUUUAAAGGGUGCGUAGGUGGGUAGGUAAGUCAGUGGUGAAAUCUUCGAGCUUAACUCGGAAACUGCCAUUGAUACUAUUUAUCUUGAAUACUUUGGAGGUAAGCGGAAUAUGUCAUGUAGCGGUGAAAUGCUUAGAUAUGACAUAGAACACCAAUUGCGAAGGCAGCUUACUACACAGUGAUUGACACUGAGGCACGAAAGCGUGGGGAUCAAACAGG